GAAAUGCGAUAAGUAGUGUGAAUUGCAGAAUUCAGUGAAUCAUCGAAUCUUUGAACGCACAUUGCGCCCCUCGGCAUUCCGUGGGGCAUGCCUGUUCGAGCGUCAUCUACACCCUCAAGCUCUGCUUGGUGUUGGGCGUCUGUCCCGCCUCCGCGCGCGGACUCGCCCCAAAUGCAUUGGCAGCGGUUCCUUGCCCCCCUCUUUGCGCAGCACAUUGCCAUUCGAGGCGGCGGCGGCCCGCGUCCAACAAGCUCAACCCCCCCGUCUUUGACCUCGGAUCAGGUAGGGAUACCCGCUGAACUUAAGA
rnacentral:misc_RNA from 1 species